AUGGGCGCCGCCGUGAUGGAGCAGCGACGCGGCGGCAAGCCCAAGGUGGUGUUCGUGCUGGGCGCGACAUCCACAGGCAAGUCCAAGCUUGCCAUCGCCCUGGCGGCGCUCUUCGGCGGCGAGGUGAUCAACUCUGACAAGAUCCAGGUGUACGCUGGCCUCCCAGUGAUCACCAACAAGGUGACGGACGAGGAGUGCGCGGGUGUGCCGCACCACCUCCUCGGCUGCGUGCCGUGCCCCGACGCUGAUUUCACUGUCGACGACUUCUGCCGGGAGGCGACUGACGCGAUCAAGCGCGUUCUCUCCCGCGGCGGCCUCCCCGUGGUGGCCGGCGGCUCCAACCGGUACGUCGAGGCGCUCGUCGACGGAGACGGCGGCGCCUUCCGCUCCUCCCAUGACUGCCUCUUCGUCUGGCUGGACGCCGCGCCGGAAGUCCUCCGCCGCUCCACGGCCGUACGGGUGGACGACAUGGUGCGGCGGGGGCUCGUGGAGGAGGCCCGCGCGGCGUUCGACCCGGACGCCAGCUACACCCGGGGCGUGCGCCGCGCCAUCGGCCUGCCGGAGAUGGACGCGUACCUGCGACGCGCGAGCGACGGCGAUGAUGACGGCACAGCCGCGAUGCUGGGGAGAGCGGUGGAGGAGAUCAAGGUUAACACGUUCGGGCUGGUGCUGGAGCAGGUGGAGAAGAUCCGGCGGUUGAGCACGCUGGAGGGGUGGGACGUCCGGCGGGUGGACUGCACAGAGGUGCUGGCGCGGACGGCGGACGGCGAAGGGGUGCAGGAGCUAUGGAGGAAGGUUGUCUGGGAGCCCGUCGAGGACAUGGUGCGGACGUUCGUCAUCGCGGAGAAGAGCGGUGGGAAGAUCAACCUGCUGCCCUAG
rnacentral:rRNA from 1 species